UCUUUGCUUCUUAUGUAUGCAAGCCACAGUACUUUCUGUGACUUAAGAGUCCCUGCCUGGCCAGCCCACCGGUAGCUAGCGUGGCAAUGUGUGACUGAAAAUGAACAAUGAACUUCACACAUGAGACUCACCUGCUUUGUCAGGUCCUGCAACAUCCGAGGGAGGAAAUAUUCCUCUAUUUGCCUGCAAAGGAGAACACCACAGACCUGAGACUGGCUGACUCCAGAGAGAAACAGGAGCCUCACCUUGGGAGUUAGCACAACCAAGGCCAAGUUCAGACUGCUGUGCGUACUGCUUCAAGAUAUGGAACAAGAUUCCUGCAGACCUCUCCGCAGCCCUGUCAUCCCAAUAGGCCAUCUGCAGGUCUGAUGAUGGCUGUGUUGCUGCAUCAAAAUUCAUUUCAGAGAUAGGGGCCCUAGAGCCCUUCCCCUUCAUCCUUGCUUUCCUCCUCCAUCCAUCAGAAGAUCCACUUAGUGCCAGACCAGAGAAAGGCCACCAAGAAGUAGCACAAGGCCAGCUUUCCUUCUCACCCUCCACCCCAAAGCACCCCUAAGGCCAGCCCACACCCGGCAGAGGGCUACUGAGGCUCAUCACAGUUCACCGAGAGCAGGCACAUCAAGAACAAAAGUCUCUUAGAAAGCCUAUCACCAGCUGGCCCAAUCUGUCAUUCUGUCUCCAGAACUCUGCUGCUUUUUGAGACACACUUUCCCUGCUGGGCACUGCUGUGGCAGCCUCUGCGUGCCCUUCCCAGCCAACCUCCCCUUGAAACUCCUGGCAGUGUAUUUCUGCCUACAAACCAUUUUUGGCUAUGACAAUUGCAAGUCUUCUCUACCUCUGUGAGCUACAAUAGGCCCCAUGUCCCCUGUAUUGCUGCGAUAAUCAUGGGGUAUGUUUUGGUUUGUAUCUAGACGUUUCCACAAAGCCUCAUGCAGUCAUAGGAGUUUUUUCAGAGGUGGCUGAAUAUAGAGCGUGCAAUUGAUUCAUAGCACAGUGCCGAGAUCAAGGGUGCUAAGAUUAAGGGGCUGGGUGUAGUCUGCAUACAAUAUAAAAGACAGAAAGAGGCUUGUCUUGCUCUCCCUUGUUGCUUUUGUUAUCUUCUGUGCUAUAAACUGUUCUCUGACAUGUGCCACCCUGCCUUGGAGCCAGCCAGUUGUAGACUAAAACCUCUACAAACUGUGAGUUAAAUAAACCUUUCCCCCUUUAA